rnacentral:lncRNA from 1 species
CCCGCCGCCACCGCGGCCGCGGCACACCCCCUCCGAGCUCCCUGCCGUGCAGGGGUGACGCGCGGCCCCCACAGGGCUCCAGGGAUACGUCUCUCCUCCGGAGCCGCUCCCUGUCCCC